rnacentral:rRNA from 1 species
GUCUACAACCAUGCCACCCUGAACAAGCCCUAUCCCAUCUGAUCUCAGAAGCUAAGCUGGGUCAGGCCUGGUUAGCACUAGGAUGGGAGACCAACUAGGAAAACCAGGUGCUGUAGGCG